rnacentral:lncRNA from 1 species
AAAUACGUACCAGACAUUCCUUUUUCAUUGUUCCAUGUUUGAGAUGUUUAUCACUUGUCUUUUCUAUAUUUGCAAUGCAGAUGAAGUUAAAAUAUUCAUUUGGUGCGUUCUUAGAUCCCGUAGCUGACAAGGUAUCUAUUACUACUCUUUGGACUACUUGAUGCUUACAUACAAGUCUCUUUAAGUAAUAACAUAUUUCGAUUCCUCAGAAUCAAUUCUGUCACCCAUAAGCUUCUCCCACAACUGGUUUUGGCUUUGCGAUAAAUAGUAGAAUGAUUUGCAAACAUACUAUAAGUGACAUGUCAAAACCGUGCUUUCGUUAUUUUCUGUAAGUGAAUGAUUUUCUAUUGAAUGCAGCUUAUGGUUGCUGCAACAUUGGUUUUAUUAUGUACUAGACCUUUGUCUGUUGAUGUUUUUGGACAAGCACCCUAGCUACUGACUCUCCCUUCAAUUGCCAUAAUUGGUAGAGGUAAUGCUACUUAACUUAUUGCAUCUUUGAUUUCUAUGACAUGCAAUACCUUCAAGGUAUUGCUCACAGGGAACCUUACAAAGGGUCGCACAUCAUCACCAAAAUCAUGCAUCUUCAUUGUUAUGGAUUCCUUAUCCCUUCUCUCUGCUGUUAUUUUUUCUAUGAUGUUCAAUUUGUAAUGUGUCAAUUGGCUCUUAUUCUAGGUUAAAAAUGUCCCUAGAAUAAACUUUGGUAGCCAAGGCAAGUUUAAAGCUGUAAAUAAUCUCUUGCAUUUAAGGGGGUUGAAAACUCCCGUUAAAAAAAGCUUGCGGAUAAGGGAGGUUUAAAACCCCCGCUAAAAAACGCCGCUAAAUGUAUAUGCAGGUACCAGGGUUUGCUGAAAAACGCCGCUAAUAAUUUGUGGCGAGUGUAACUUCGGGAUUUUUCAAAACCCCCGCUAAGUAACUCGCGGGGGUUGAAAACCCCCACUAAUUGCAAGAAAAAAACCCCACUAAAAAACGUUUUUUUUGUAGUGACUCAUGACAAUGUCUUGCAAUAUUUCAGCAUCCAAAGACUAUUUACUUCAGGUGGUUCAAAAAGUUGAUAAACCCUCUAGAGAAGAAGAGAAUGGAGAAAUUCAAGAGAAUAGAAGAGAUAUGAGCCUCGCUAUCACGAAAAGUAACGGGGAGACACGUGCCAAUUUAGCUAAAAUAAUUGCCAAAUACGUGGUGAUGCUAUAUCAAAACAAAUUGCGUUGUUUAGGUAUGUAGUAUAAUGUCAUCUAGCAUUAUAAGUAGUUGGAAAACCCUGUUAUUACAAACACCAUGACAUUGGUUUUCUGCUAUCUUAUUUUUAUAUGUAGCUUUCUAUAUGGAUGGCUGGCGUGGAACAACAGCUACUACAAGUAUUUUCAUUGCUGCUUCGGUUACAGAUUGUCUUGAUGGCUAUAUUGCUCGCAAGGUACUCACUCAAACUGAAUUCAAAUACGUACCAGACAUUCCUUUUUCAUUGUUCCAUGUUUGAGAUGUUUAUCACUUGUCUUUUCUAUAUUUGCAAUGCAGAUGAAGUUAAAAUAUUCAUUUGGUGCGUUCUUAGAUCCCGUAGCUGACAAGGUAUCUAUUACUACUCUUUGGACUACUUGAUGCUUACAUACAAGUCUCUUUAAGUAAUAACAUAUUUCGAUUCCUCAGAAUCAAUUCUGUCACCCAUAAGCUUCUCCCACAACUGGUUUUGGCUUUGCGAUAAAUAGUAGAAUGAUUUGCAAACAUACUAUAAGUGACAUGUCAAAACCGUGCUUUCGUUAUUUUCUGUAAGUGAAUGAUUUUCUAUUGAAUGCAGCUUAUGGUUGCUGCAACAUUGGUUUUAUUAUGUACUAGACCUUUGUCUGUUGAUGUUUUUGGACAAGCACCCUAGCUACUGACUCUCCCUUCAAUUGCCAUAAUUGGUAGAGGUAAUGCUACUUAACUUAUUGCAUCUUUGAUUUCUAUGACAUGCAAUACCUUCAAGGUAUUGCUCACAGGGAACCUUACAAAGGGUCGCACAUCAUCACCAAAAUCAUGCAUCUUCAUUGUUAUGGAUUCCUUAUCCCUUCUCUCUGCUGUUAUUUUUUCUAUGAUGUUCAAUUUGUAAUGUGUCAAUUGGCUCUUAUUCUAGGUUAAAAAUGUCCCUAGAAUAAACUUUGGUAGCCAAGGCAAGUUUAAAGCUGUAAAUAAUCUCUUGCAUUUAAGGGGGUUGAAAACUCCCGUUAAAAAAAGCUUGCGGAUAAGGGAGGUUUAAAACCCCCGCUAAAAAACGCCGCUAAAUGUAUAUGCAGGUACCAGGGUUUGCUGAAAAACGCCGCUAAUAAUUUGUGGCGAGUGUAACUUCGGGAUUUUUCAAAACCCCCGCUAAGUAACUCGCGGGGGUUGAAAACCCCCACUAAUUGCAAGAAAAAAACCCCACUAAAAAACGUUUUUUUUGUAGUG